rnacentral:rRNA from 1 species
AGCAGCCGCGGUAAUUCCAGCUCCAAUAGCGUAUAUUAAAGUUGUUGCAGUUAAAAAGCUCGUAGUUGAAUUUCGGGGUUAGUAGGUUGGUCAUGCCUCUGGUAUGUACUGGUCUCACUGAUUCCUCCUUCCUGAUAAAUCUUAAUGCCAUUAAUUUGGUGUUUUGGGGAAUUUGGACUGUUACUUUGAAAAAAUUAGAGUGUUUAAGGCAAGCUAACGCUUGAAUACAUUAGCAUGGAAUAAUGAAAUAGGACGUUCGAUCCUAUUUUGUUGGUUUCUAGGAUUGACGUAAUGAUUAAUAGGGAUAGUUGGGGGCAUUAGUAUUCAAUUGUCAGAGGUGAAAUUCUUGGAUUUAUUGAAGACUAACUACUGCGAAAGCAUUUGCCAAGGAUGUUUUCAUUAAUCAAGAACGAAAGUUAGGGGAUCGAAGACGAUCAGAUACCGUCGUAGUCUUAACCAUAAACUAUGCCGACUAGGGAUCGGAUGAUGUUAAUUUUUUAAUGACUCA